CACAAAACGUACGAGGUAAAUUUUCAUCAUUAGAUAUAUAGAUAUUGUGUUUUAGACUAAAGUGAGUGUAUUUCUCUGUUAUUUCAGGAGCAGUAAUCCAGUUUGUCCAAAAGAUCGGGGAAGAAUUGAUAAUGUAAUAGAAGUAAUUAUUUCUUCCUGUGUCCAGAAGGCGUGUACUGAAUCACUCUUCGGAAAAGCAUAGCCUAAGGUUUACUAAUCCAUAGCUGCGCCAUCAGACCACACUUGAUUAUGGAAAUGCAUCUAUUGCAAGUGAUUGCAUGGUUUGCUGAUAAUAUUCGAUUUCCGUGAACGAUACAACUUUUUUAACCGACUUAAUUCAAAGUGGAGCACAAACACUAUUGAGUAAACAGGGAUCGGCGCUAAGAUUUCCUCUUUUUCUUUACUAUAUUCAUGUUUAUAAAAUGCCCUUAACAUUUCAUGAUACUGCUUUGAACUAGGUUAAUUUCUUCGUCAAUGCCCUCUUAGAUUUAAUAUUUCUGUGUGUUUUAAACGCUUUUUAAGACAUUUCUUAUGGGCUUUCAUAGAUUUUAUCUUCUGAUCGAUUUACCUCUAAUUUUCCGCACCAUACAGUUCUAUCCCGACAAGGCCUUUGCCAGGGAAAUGCUAUGCCUUCGAGUUAAAUGCUUACAGAGUGAGAGAGGAUGUCUCUGGAUUGGUCAGUUACGACAUGCAGAGGAACGUAUUGGUGAGUUUUCUCAUGAAGAUCGAAACUGUUUGGCGUGCGACGCUCUUGCUCAAAGGCGACAUCUAGAAACGCAUUAAAACGACUCAUGCCCCAAAAGAAUCAUAGAGUGCAUUCACUACCAUGAUGAGUUCACUUUUAUUAAAAAAACAGGCAAGUAUACAACUCGGAAUUUUAGAGAUCAUCCAUUAACAAUUGCCUUUUGAGUUUACAUCAAUUUAAGAUAUUGAACUCCAUCUCGAGCCAUGCAAUAUAUGUUUCAAUAAAAUCGAACAAAGUAGAAAACAACCUAUACUAGGAAUACACUGAUACAGAGUCCGAAAAAGGUUUAAACUGACAUAGACGAUCUCUUCUUGCUUCAGAAACAUGAGGAAAAAUACUGCAGACGCUUUCCUAUUACCUGUCCAAACAGCUAUGGAAAGAAAGGAAUACCUAGGGAAGAGGUAGAUGGUGUCUGAUCUCACUGAUCCGCUGAUGUACAUUGGAUAAGACAGAAGAUGUAUAGCUAAAGCUCUUUUAUACAAUAAAAUUUAGAGUGUGCGGUUAUAUAAAUAAAUGUUUGAGUUCUCGUUUA